CGGGGUGCAGCAGGCGCGAAAACUUUGCAAUACACGAAAGUGUGACAGGGCUAUCCCGAGUGCCAUCCGCUGAGGAAGGCUUUUACCCAGUCUAGAACGCUGGGGGAAUAAGGAGAGGGCAAGUCUGGUGUCAGCCGCCGCGGUAAUACCAGCUCUCCGAGUGGUGUGGAUGUUUAUUGGGCCUAAAGCAUCCGUAGCUGGCUAAGUUAGUCCCUUGUUAAAUCCACCGAAUUAAUCGUUGGAUUGCGGGGGAUACUGCUUGGCUAGGGGACGAGAGAGGCAGACGGUAUUUCCGGGGUAGGGGUGAAAUCCUAUAAUCCCGGGAAGACCACCAGUGGCGAAGGCUGUCUGCUAGAACGCGCCCGACGGUGAGGGAUGAAAGCUGGGGGAGCGAACCGGAUUAGAUACCCGGGUAGUCCCAGCUGUAAACGAUGCAGGCUAGGUGUUUGGACGGCCACGUGCCGUUCUAGUGCCGCAGGGAGGCUGUUAAGCCUGCCGCCUGGGGAGUACGAUCGCAAGAUUGAAACUUAAAGGAAUUGGCGGGGGAGCAC
rnacentral:rRNA from 1 species